rnacentral:rRNA from 1 species
CCUACGGGAGGCAGCAGUAGGGAAUCUUCCACAAUGGGCGAAAGCCUGAUGGAGCAACGCCGCGUGGGUGAAGAAGGUCUUCGGAUCGUAAAACCCUGUUGUUAGAGAAGAAAGUGCGUGAGAGUAACUGUUCACGUUUCGACGGUAUCUAACCAGAAAGCCACGGCUAACUACGUGCCAGCAGCCGCGGUAAUACGUAGGUGGCAAGCGUUAUCCGGAUUUAUUGGGCGUAAAGGGAACGAAGGCGGUCUUUUAAGUCUGAUGUUAAAGCCUUCGGCUUAACCGGAGUAGUGCAUUGGAAACUGGGAGACUUGAGUGCAGAAGAGGAGAGUGGAACUCCAUGUGUAGCGGUGAAAUGCGUAGAUAUAUGGAAGAACACCAGUGGCGAAAGCGGCUCUCUGGUCUGUAACUGACGCUGAGGUUCGAAAGCGUGGGUAGCAAACAGGAUUAGAUACCCCAGUAGUC